CCUACGGGAGGCAGCAGUGGGGAAUAUUGCACAAUGGGCUAAAGCCUGAUGCAGCAACGCCGCGUGAGCGAUGAAGGCCUUCGGGUCUUAAAGCUCUGUCCUCAAGGAAGAUAAUGACGGUACUUGAGGCGGAAGCGCCGGCUAACGACGUCCCAGCAUCCGCGGUAAUACGUAGGGGACUAGCGUUAUCCGGAUUUACUGGGCGUAAGGGGUGCGUAGGUGGUUUCUUAAGUCAGCGGUGAAAGGGUACGGCUCAACCGUAGUAAGCCGUUGAAACUGGGAAACUUGAGGGCUGGAGAGGAGAGUGGAAUUCCUAGUGGAGCGGUGAAAUGCGUAGAUAUUAGGAGGAACACCAGUUGCGAAGGCGGCUCUCUGGACUGUAACUGACACUGAGGCACGAAAGCGUGGGGAGCAAACAGGAUUAGAUACCCGGGUAGUC
rnacentral:rRNA from 1 species